rnacentral:rRNA from 1 species
GACGAACGCUGGCGGCGUGCCUAAUACAUGCAAGUAGAACGCUGAAGGAGGAGCUUGCUUCUCUGGAUGAGUUGUGAACGGGUGAGUAACGCGUAGGUAACCUGCCUGGUAGCGGGGGAUAACUAUUGGAAACGAUAGCUAAUACCGCAUAACAGUAGAUAUCGCAUGAUAUCUACUUGAAAGGUGCAAUUGCAUCACUACCAGAUGGACCUGCGUUGUAUUAGCUAGUUGGUGAGGUAACGGCUCACCAAGGCGACGAUACAUAGCCGACCUGAGAGGGUGAUCGGCCACACUGGGACUGAGACACGGCCCAGACUCCUACGGGAGGCAGCAGUAGGGAAUCUUCGGCAAUGGACGGAAGUCUGACCGAGCAACGCCGCGUGAGUGAAGAAGGUUUUCGGAUCGUAAAGCUCUGUUGUAAGAGAAGAACGAGUGUGAGAGUGGAAAGUUCACACUGUGACGGUAUCUUACCAGAAAGGGACGGCUAACUACGUG